UACGAAGGGGGCUAGCGUUGCUCGGAAUUACUGGGCGUAAAGGGCGCGUAGGCGGAUAGUUUAGUCAGAGGUGAAAGCCCAGGGCUCAACCUUGGAAUUGCCUUUGAUACUGGCUAUCUUGAGUUCGGGAGAGGUGAGUGGAAUGCCGAGUGUAGAGGUGAAAUUCGUAGAUAUUCGGCGGAACACCAGUGGCGAAGGCGGCUCACUGGCCCGAUACUGACGCUGAGGCACGAAAGCGUGGGGAGCAAACAGG
rnacentral:rRNA from 1 species